UUGAUGUUGUAACCUGCUGUCGGUGGAGAUUGACCCGGAGAGCUGAGUAGAUGACAGAAGAGGAACUGGUGAUGGAUAGAGGUGAGAGGGGGGCAGAGAGAAAGGGAGGAGAGAU